rnacentral:rRNA from 1 species
UAGGGAAUCUUCGGCAAUGGGGGGAACCCUGACCGAGCAACGCCGCGUGAGUGAAGAAGGUUUUCGGAUCGUAAAGCUCUGUUGUUAAGGAAGAACGAGUGUGAGAAUGGAAAGUUCAUGCUGUGACGGUACUUAACCAGAAAGGGACGGCUAACUACGUGCCAGCAGCCGCGGUAAUACGUAGGUCCCGAGCGUUGUCCGGAUUUAUUGGGCGUAAAGCGAGCGCAGGCGGUCAAUUAAGUCUGAUGUGAAAGCCCCCGGCUCAACCGGGGAGGGUCAUUGGAAACUGGUUGACUUGAGUGCAGAAGAGGAGAGUGGAAUUCCAUGUGUAGCGGUGAAAUGCGUAGAUAUAUGGAGGAACACCAGUGGCGAAGGCGACUCUCUGGUCUGUAACUGACGCUGAGGUUCGAAAGCGUGGGUAGCAAACAGG